AUUGAACGCUGGCGGCAGGCCUAACACAUGCAAGUCGAACGAGUGGCGGAGGGGUGAGUAAUGUCUGGGAAACUGCCUGAUGGCGGGGGAUAACUACUGGAAACGGUAGUUAAUACCGCAUACCAUCGGAUGUGCCCAGAUGGGAUUAGCUAGUAGGUGGGGUAAAGGCUAACCUAGGCGACGAUCCCUAGCUGGUCUGAGAGGAUGACCCGCCACACUGGAACGGAGACACGGUCCAGACUCCUACGUGAGGCAGCAGUGGGGAAUAUUGCACAAUGGGCUCAAGCCGGAUGCAGCGAUGCCGCGUGUAUGAAGAAGGCCGUCGGGUUGUAAAGUACUUUCAGCGGGGAGGCGUUACCCGCAGAAUAAGCACCGGCUAACUCCGUGCCAGCAGCCGCGGUAAUUC
rnacentral:rRNA from 1 species